rnacentral:rRNA from 1 species
UACAGAGGUGGCAAGCGUUGUUCGGAAUUACUGGGCGUAAAGGGCGCGUAGGCGGCCUCCUAAGUCAGACGUGAAAGCCCCAGGCUUAACCUGGGAACUGCGUCUGAUACUGGGAGGCUUGGAUUCGGGAGAGGGAUGUGGAAUUCCAGGUGUAGCGGUGAAAUGCGUAGAUAUCUGGAGGAACACCGGUGGCGAAGGCGGCAUCCUGGACCGAGAUCGACGCUGAGGCGCGAAAGCUAGGGGAGCAAACGGG